rnacentral:rRNA from 1 species
AACGAACGCUGGCGGCAGGCUUAACACAUGCAAGUCGAACGCCCCGCAAGGGGAGUGGCAGACGGGUGAGGAACACGUGGGAACGUACCCUUCGGUUCGGAACAACCCUGGGAAACUAGGGCUAAUACCGGAUACGAGCGAGAGCUGAAAGGUUUACCGCCGAAGGAUCGGCCCGCGUCUGAUUAGCUAGUUGGUGAGGUAACGGCUCACCAAGGCGACGAUCAGUAGCUGGUCUGAGAGGAUGAUCAGCCACAUUGGGACUGAGACACGGCCCAAACUCCUACGGGAGGCAGCAGUGGGGAAUAUUGGACAAUGGGCGCAAGCCUGAUCCAGCCAUGCCGCGUGAGUGAUGACGGCCCUAGGGUUGUAAAGCUCUUUUACUCGGGAAGAUAAUGACGGUACCGGGAGAAUAAGCCCCGGCUAACUUCGUGC